AGUCCACUGGCCUCCGGGUUGAGCAACUUUGACUUUAUCCUUGCACUCUAUGAUAGCUGGGCGGGGCUUGCGCCCGGUGUCGUCCUGACGCUACACGCUCGGCCCCGCAACACACACGCGGCUUGCUUGCGGCUCUCCCCCAGACAGCGUCACCUACUGAGGUAAAGUUAAUGAGCUCCGCCCCCAAGAGACCGGAAAGCGGCCUGACCAAAAUCUACAGGAUGUCCCAAAGAGCUCAAAGGGUAAACACUGGGCCGGGAGUCUGAUGAUGAGCCUCACCUGGCUCACUUCCU
rnacentral:lncRNA from 1 species